rnacentral:rRNA from 1 species
UACGGAGGGUGCAAGCAUUGAUCGGAAUUACUGGGCGUAAAGGGCGCGUAGGCGGUUAAAUAAGUCAGAUGUGAAAUUCCGGGGCUCAACCCCGGAGCUGCAUUUGAAACUAUUAGACUAGAGGUAGCGAUAUGGGAAAACGGAAUUCCACGUGUAGCGGUGAAAUGCGUAGAUAUGUGGAAGAACACCAGUGGUGAAGACGGUUUUCUGGGGCUAAACUGACGCUGAGGCGCGAAAGCUAGGGGAGCAAACAGG